AACGAACGCUGGCGGCAUGCCUAACACAUGCAAGUCGAACGAGACCUUCGUGUCUUUUUGCGCUCGUGUGCUUAACGCGUGGUAACCUGCCCUUAGGUUCGGUAUAACUCCCCGUAAGGUGUGCUAAUACCGGUUAAUCUCUUCUGACCAAAGAUUUAUCGCCUUUGGAUGGGCCCGCGUUGGAUUAGCUAGUUGGUAGGGUAAAAGCCUACCAAGGCGAGGAUCCAUAGCUGGUCUGUGAGGAUGAGAAGCCACACUGGGACUGAGACACGGCCCAGACUAGGAGGGGAGGGAGGAGUGGGGAAUAGUGGAAAAUGGGGGAAAGCAUGAUACAGCAAUGGCGGGUGAGUGAUGAAGGCGUUAGGGUUGUAAAGCUCUUUUAACCGGGAUGAUAAUGACAGUAACGGGAGAAUAAGCACCGGCUAACUACGUG
rnacentral:rRNA from 1 species